rnacentral:rRNA from 1 species
AUUGAACGCUGGCGGCAGGCCUAACACAUGCAAGUCGAGCGAGCGGCGGACGGGUGAGUAAUGUAUGGGGACUUCCCGAUUGCGGGGGAUAACUACUUGAAACGGUAUCUAAUUCCGCAUACUAUCGGAUAACCCAUAUGGGAUUAACUAGUAGGUGAGGUAAUGGCUCACCUAGGCGACGAUCCCUAGCUGUUCUGAGAGGAUGAUCAGCAACACGGGGACUGAGACAAGGCCCAGAAUCCGACGGAGGCAGCAGUCGGAAAUAUUGCAUAAGGGGCGCAAGCCUGAUGCAGCCAUGGCGCGUGUAUGAAGAAGGCCCUAGGGUUGUAAAGGACUUUCAGUCGGGAGGCGUUACCGACAGAAGAAGCACCGGCUAACUCCGUGCCAGCAGCCGCGGUAAUUC